rnacentral:misc_RNA from 2 species
CGUAGGUGAACCUGCGGAAGGAUCAUUAACAAAUCCUAGCCGUCGCUUCGCGCGAUAGCAAAACACCGUGCACUGGCAGCCGGAGAGGGGAGAGUCCACUCGGUUCAACGAAGGUGUGCCGCCGGCAUUCGGUUGGGUGCGGCACUUGAAUCAGUGAGAAUCGGCUCCGCCACCGCCCACUGGGCCUUGAACCGAUCUCCCGUCUUUGGUUUUUUGCGUGACCGUUUGUGAAACCUUGUGGUGUAUUGAUUUUUAUUUUGGCAAAAAAUUUGACAACUUCUGACGGUGGAUCUCUUGGCUCGUGCAUCGAUGAAGAACGCAGCAAGCUGCGAUACGUAGUGUGAAUUGCAGAAUUCAGUGAAUCAUCGAGUCUUUGAACGCAAAUGGCGCUCCCGGGGUCUCCUCGGGAGCAGGUCUGUCCGAGCGUCCGCCAAUCGACGAAAGCGUUGUCGUCCAAGAGACGGCAAGAGUGAGGAGCUGCGACGAGGCGUCCGCGCCGUGCGCCGCACUCCCUGAAGAGACGCGGCCGUGGACUGCGACGCGGCGGUCCGACGAGACGUCGUCGCGACAUCGUGAACGGUUGCGACGAUGCAUCCCGUGCGUACCCCGCGGCGGAGUCGGCAGCAAGAGACAUCAGGAA